GGUUUAUAUAAAUAAGAAUGUUGUAUUAGUGAGUGGAAAAGGUUUAACGAAAUUGAAUAGUCUUUUAAUAAAAAUAAUUAAUAUAACUUUCUUUUUUUAAAUGGGUAACAAAUUAACAAAUAAAAUAUGAUGCUUAUAUUGUACUUAACNAAUUUGCCAUAGACUCUCUUUGACAACUUUGCUCUCACUUUUGUCUAUGUUAUUUCUUGCUAUUUUGGUCCUAGUGUCUUCUGCACACCUAUGAUUGAAGAGCCAACUUUUCACGUAAUCUUCAGGACUCCAAUCACUUAAAGGAGGUCCAUAUAUGUUAAUAAACAUUAAAUUAGAAAUAUUAUUUAUCUUUAACCAUAACGAAGAUCCGUAAAAAUGUUAUUCAUGACACUGAAUCCUCUUUCACAUUUUGCGGUUGAACAUGGAAACGUUUUAAGAAAGAUGUAGAAUGUAAACAUCACGUUUUUAGGAUCAAUAGUUUGAUCGUAAAUAAUUUUUCUCAUACCACUAAUAGAUUCAUCUUGGUCAAGUGAAAAUCUUUUACAUAAGUAUUUAAUAUCAUCUUCAUAUCGAAUAUCUGGGUCCUCGGGCCAAGUUCAUUUUUCCAACAAUAAAAUAUUUUUCAAAAUAAUUUUAUUUUUACAGUCAUUGUUAAGAAGUCUUGAUUUUAAGUUAUUUUCAAUGCUUGUCAAAAACUGAUUUUUAUUUAUGCUUAUCAUGUUUUUGUUUGAAG